UACGUAGGGGGCAAGCGUUGUCCGGAAUCAUUGGGCGUAAAGAGCGUGUAGGCGGCCAGACAGGUCCGUUGUGAAAACUCGAGGCUCAACCUCGAGACGCCGAUGGAAACCGUCUGGCUAGAGUCCGGAAGAGGAGAGUGGAAUUCCUGGUGUAGCGGUGAAAUGCGCAGAUAUCAGGAAGAACACCCGUGGCUAAGGCGGCUCUCUAGUACGGUACUGACGCUGAGACGCGAAAAGCGUGGGGAGCGAACAGG
rnacentral:rRNA from 1 species